GAUGAACGCUAGCGGCAGGCUAAACACAUGCAAGUCGAGGGGUAGAGUUAGCUUGCUAACUUGAGACCGGCGCACGGGUGCGUAACGCGUAUGCAAUCUACCUUGUACAGAGGGAUAGCCCAGAGAAAUUUGGAUUAAUACCUCAUAGUAUCUUCGGAAGGCAUCUUCUGAUUAUUAAAGUUCCAACGGUACAAGAUGAGCAUGCGUCCCAUUAGCUAGAUGGUAAGGUAACGGUUUACCAUGGCAACGAUGGGUAGGGGUCCUGAGAGGGAGAUCCCCCACACAGGUACUGAGACACGGACCGAACUCCUACGGGAGGCAGCAGUGAGGAAUAUUGGUCAAUGGGCGCAAGCCUGAACCAGCCAUGCCGCGUGCAGGAAGACGGUCCUAUGGAUUGUAAACUGCUUUUAUACGGGAAGAAACACUGCUACGUGUAGCAGCUUGACGGUACCGUAAGAAUAAGCAUCGGCUAACUCCGUGCCAGCAGCCGCCGUAACAC
rnacentral:rRNA from 1 species